rnacentral:rRNA from 1 species
UGGGGAAUAUUGGACAAUGGGCGAAAGCCUGAUCCAGCCAUGCCGCGUGUGUGAAGAAGGUCUCGGAUUGUAAAGCACUUUAAGUUGGGAGGAAGGGCAGUAAGCGAAUACCUUGCUGUUUUGACGUUACCGACAGAAUAAGCACCGGCUAACUCUGUGCCAGCAGCCGCGGUAAUACAGAGGGUGCAAGCGUUAAUCGGAAUUACUGGGCGUAAAGCGCGCGUAGGUGGUUCGUUAAGUUGAAUGUGAAAGCCCCGGGCUCAACCUGGGAACUGCAUCCAAAACUGGCGAGCUAGAGUAGGGCAGAGGGUGGUGGAAUUUCCUGUGUAGCGGUGAAAUGCGUAGAUAUAGGAAGGAACACCAGUGGCGAAGGCGACCACCUGGGCUCAUACUGACACUGAGGUGCGAAAGCGUGGGGAGCAAACAGG